rnacentral:snRNA from 1 species
AGAUGUGCAAGUGCUAGGGCAGAGACAUCUGCCAUCCAUUGAUUGCCAGGGUCGAUUGGGUUGAUGUGACUGGCUAGGAGGGUGUCCCCUCCUUCACUGUUCCACAUGUGUCUCUCCCGAAGGUUUGCACUUGGUAGAAGAGGGCAAUGUUCCCUGAUAGAGGAGGACUGCUCUUCAGGCAAGGACAUGUAAGUAGCUGACUUCUCCUGCUAGAACCACCAAUCAAGAACUCAAGACAGCUCCCCCUCUUCUAAUUUCAGGAACUCAGGUCUAAGUCCUUAUGGAACUCCCUCUUCUUAAGUCCGUCAUCAGAAAACUCUGUGGCCGACCUU